rfam:Entamoeba histolytica HM-1:IMSS scf_1104750517239 genomic scaffold, whole genome shotgun sequence.
UAGACCGUACUCUUAGGAUCAUUUCUAUAGUACAGUCAAUCCAUUAUCCGUCUUAAAAAUAACAACAAGACAAUAGGAUGAAGACUAAAUAACCAACAACACCAACGGGAGAUAAACAGUUGGAAACAAAUGUACAAUGAACGGCUUGAAACAAUCUAAAGAAAGAAAUUUCCAAAGAAAGUUCAAGAGGUGAUGUUAGGGUGUCUGACUAUC